AUCGUUAUCUUCCUUAUCUUUAUCUUCUUAUAUUCCUUAUAUUCCUUAUCCUUAUCUUCCUUAUCUUCCUCAUCUUAUAACGAUCAGGAAGAUAAGAAGAUAAAGAUAAGGAAGAUAAAGAUAAGGAAGAUAGGAAUAAGGAAGAGAAGAAGAUAAAGAUAAGAAAGAUAAAGAU